rnacentral:rRNA from 1 species
UCUGGCGGCCUUAGCGCAGUGGUCCCACCUGACCCCAUGCCGAACUCAGAAGUGAAACGCCGUAGCGCCGAUGGUAGUGUGGGGCACUCCCCAUGCGAGAGUAGGGAACUGCCAGAC